GACAGAGGGUGCGAACGUUGUUCGGAAUUACUGGGCGUAAAGCGCAUGUAGGCGGCAGCGCAAGUCGGGCGUGAAAUCCCACGGCUCAACCGUGGAAGUGCACUCGAAACUGCGCAGCUAGAGUCCUGGAGAGGAAGGUGGGAUGCUUGGUGUAGAGGUGAAAUUCGUAGAUAUCAAGCGGAACACCGGUGGCGAAGGCGGCAUCCUGGACCGGCAUUGACGCUGAGGCGCGAAAGCGUGGGGAGCAAACAGG
rnacentral:rRNA from 1 species